GAUGAACGCUGGCGGCGUGCCUAAUACAUGCAAGUCGAGCGAACAGAUGAGAAGCUUGCUUCUCUGAUGUUAGCGGCGGACGGGUGAGUAACACGUGGGUAACCUACCUAUAAGACUGGGAUAACUCCGGGAAACCGGGGCUAAUACCGGAUAAUAUUUUGAACCGCAUGGUUCAAAAGUGAAAGACGGUUUCGGCUGUCACUUAUAGAUGGACCCGCGCCGUAUUAGCUAGUUGGUAAGGUAACGGCUUACCAAGGCGACGAUACGUAGCCGACCUGAGAGGGUGAUCGGCCACACUGGAACUGAGACACGGUCCAGACUCCUACGGGAGGCAGCAGUAGGGAAUCUUCCGCAAUGGGCGAAAGCCUGGCGGAGCAACGCCGCGUGAGUGAUGAAGGUCUUCGGAUCGUAAAACUCUGUUGUUAGGGAAGAACAAAUUUGUUAGUAACUGAACAAGUCUUGACGGUACCUAACCAGAAAGCCACGGCUAACUACGUGCCAGCCGCCGCAGUAA
rnacentral:rRNA from 1 species